CAGUCGCCGCGGGAAUACGGAGGGUGCAAGCGUUAAUCGGAAUUACUGGGCGUAAAGCGCACGCAGGCGGUCUGUCAAGUCAGAUGUGAAAUCCCCGGGCUUAACCUGGGAACUGCAUUUGAAACUGGCGAGCUAGAGUAUGGUAGAGGGUGGUGGAAUUUCCUGUGUAGCGGUGGAAUGCGUAGAUAUAGGAAGGAACAUCAGUGGCGAAGGCGACCACCUGGACUGAUACUGACACUGAGGUGCGAAAGCGUGGGGAGCAAACAGGAUUAGAUACCCCAGUAGUCCCUGUCUCUUAUAU
rnacentral:rRNA from 1 species